rnacentral:misc_RNA from 1 species
AAGUCGUAACAAGGUUUCCGUAGGUGAACCUGCGGAAGGAUCAUUACUGAAUUAAUGACAGGGUUGUAGCUGGCCUUUACCGGCAUGUGCACGCCUUGUUCAUCCAAAUUCUCAUACCCCUGUGCACCUUUCAUGGGACAAUGGCAGAUGCUCCACCCUAGUGGUUGGGCUGAUGUCGCUGUUCUGUGCUUUUUAUACAAACGCUUCAGUAUAGAAUGUCUACUGCGCAUGACGCACUAUAUACAACUUUUAGCAACGGAUCUCUUGGCUCUC